UACGAAGGGGGGCGAGCGUUGUUCGGAUUUACUGGGCGUAAAGGGCGCGCAGGCGGCCAUUCAAGUCAGGCGUGAAAGCCCCGGGCUUAACCUGGGAGGUGCGUCUGGGACUGGGUGGCUAGAGAUCGGGAGAGGAGAGUGGAAUUCCCAGUGUAGAGGUGAAAUUCGUAGAUAUUGGGAAGAACACCGGUGGCGAAGGCGGCUAUCUGGACCGUAACUGACGCUGAGGCGCGAAAGCGUGGGGAGCGAACAGG
rnacentral:rRNA from 1 species